rnacentral:rRNA from 1 species
AACGCGAAGAACCUUACCUACCCUUGACAUGUCAAGAAUCUAGCAGAGAUGUUGGAGUGCCUUCGGGAACUUGAACACAGGUGCUACAUGGCUGUCGUCAGCUCGUGUCGUGAGAUGUUGGGUUAAGUCCCGCAACGAGCGCAACCCUUGUUUGCUGUUGCCAUCAGGUUAUGCUGGGCACUCUGCAAAGACUGCCGGUGAUAAACCGGAGGAAGGUGGGGAUGACGUCAAGUCAGCAUGGCCUUUAUGUCUGGGGCUACACACGUGCUACAAUGGCCGGUACAAACCGUCGCGAGCCCGCGAGGUGGAGCUAAUCGGAGAAAGCCGGUCUCAGUUCGGAUAGCAGGCUGCAACUCGCCUGCUUGAAGUUGGAAUCGCUAGUAAUCGCGGAUCAGCACGCCGCGGUGAAUACGUUCCCGGGCCUUGUACACACCGAGUAUA